AACCGACUCCGGGCGCAGUGGGAAGCGCGUAAAUUCCUGGGACACGAGAACCACAGUGUUAAUGAAACAGCUGGGCUGGGAGAAGGUGGGGCGCAGGACACAUCUGUCCGAAGGGUGCCCUGGGUAAUCAGACAGCGACCUGAGACCAGAAAGGUUCUCAG
rnacentral:lncRNA from 1 species